CUCUGCUCCCCUUUAGUCUCCUCUCUGCUCCCCUUUAGUCUCCUCCGCUCCCCUUUAGUCUCCUCUGCUCCCCUUUAGUCUCUUCUGCUCCCCUUUAGUCUCCUCUGCUCCCCUUUAGUCUCUUCUGCUCCCCUUUAUCUCUCUCUGCUCCCCUUUAGUCUCCUCUCUGCUCCCCUUUAGUCUCCUCUCUGCUCCCCUUUAGUCUCCUCUCUGCUCCCCUUUAGUCUCCUCCUCUGCUCCCCUUUAUCUCCUCUCUGCUCCCCUUUAGUCUCUCCUCUGCUCCCCUUUAGUCUCCUCUGCUCCCCUUUAGUCUCCUCUGCUCCCCUUUAGUCUCCUCUUCUAUUUUGAUGUAUUUUUCUUUGACAUUGAGACUAAAUGAAGCGGCGCGUAUCGAUGGUUUAAACCUUUGAUGAUUGAGUCCACGUCUCCUAGGAGCUCGUGGUUCCUCAGGCUGACAGCUGAUGAUCUCAUGGAAACUCUUCUGAGCGCCUCAC
ensembl:lncRNA